GCCCUUAGGGUUUGAUUNUUGGCUCAGAUUGAACGNUGGCGGCAUGCCUAACACAUGCAAGUNGAACGGUAACAGGUCUUCGGAUGCUGACGAGUGGCGGACGGGUGAGUAAUGCGUAGGAAUCUGUCUUUGAGUGGGGGACAACCCAGGGAAACUUGGGNUAAUNCCGCAUAAGCCCUGAGGGGGAAAGCGGGGGAUNUUCGGACCUCGCGCUGGAGGAGGAGCCUACGUNUGAUUAGCUAGUUGGUAGGGUAAAGGCCUACCAAGGCGACGAUCGGUAGCUGGUCUGAGAGGACGACCAGCCACACUGGGACUGAGACACGGCCCAGACUCCUACGGGAGGCAGCAGUGGGGAAUUUUUCGCAAUGGGGGCAACCCUGACGAAGCAAUGCCGCGUGAAUGAAGAAGGCCUUCGGGUUGUAAAGUUCUUUCGUGGAGGACGAAAAGGNGGGUGCUAAUCCGCCUGCUGUGACG
rnacentral:rRNA from 1 species